CCUACGGGAGGCAGCAGUGGGGAAUAUUGCGCAAUGGGCGAAAGCCUGACGCAGCGACGCCGCGUGAGGGAUGAAGGUCUUCGGAUCGUAAACCUCUGUCAGCAGGGAAGAACGGUCACUGUGCUAAUCAGCAGUGAAUUGACGGUACCUGCAAGGGAAGCACCGGAUAACUCCGUGCCAGCAGCCCCGGUGAUACGGAGGGGGCGAGCGUUAAUCGGAAUUACUGGGCGUAAAGGGCUCGUAGGCGGUAUGUCAAGUCAAGCGUGAAAUCCCCGCGCUCAACGUGGGAACUGCCGUUGAAACUGGCAAACUGGAGUGUGUGAGAGGAUAGUGGAAUGCCAGGUGUAGGAGUGAAAUGCGUAGAUAUCGGGAGGAACACCAGUGGCGAAGGCGACUAUCUGGCACAUAACUGACGCUGAGGAGCGAAAGCGUGGGUAGCAAACAGGAUUAGAUACCCCAGUAGUC
rnacentral:rRNA from 1 species